AUAAGAGAAGGGAAAACAACGUAUCAUAGAUAAUCUCAUCAUGUUCAUUGAUUAGAGUUUGAGCAAUGGCAUAAAGUUAGACAAUAAUAAUCCAACCCAAAUAGGUAAACAAGGACAUGGAUAACAAAGCUAGUCAAUCCUUAGGCAUAAAUGUGUAAAGCGGGAGGUGAAUUAAAGAAUGAAUAAGACAGAGAUAGGUCAAGGGACAAUUGCCUCCACCAACCGACUGCUGCUCAGGGGCUUCUCCUGCGAGUUCCUCGGGCUCUUCAAUCGGAUCGUUCUCUAUGCUAUUGCAAGCAUACAUCCAUCCAUCCAUUCAAAUUAGGAAACAAACAGUACACCAUACAAGAGAACAAAUAAAGUAAAUAUGCAUAGAAUAUCACAUGCGAUAAUGAACUUACCAUGAUUGGAAAGAAAUGAGAAAAGGUCUUGCGAGGAAGAAAUUCAUCGGGACUCCAUCGGCCACACCUCCUGACCUGCCCAUAGUCCACCAUGGCGCAGUGGUUCCAGAGCCCCUUCGGAUCGAGCGGGCUCGCCUGGCGGGUGGAGUUCGCCAGGUGCUCGUGCAUUGGCACGGCGAGUAGGCCGCAUCAGCAACAUGGGAAUACCUCGACGACUUCUAUGCCCGGUUCCCGGACUUUCAGCUCGAGGACGAGCUGGACCUAGAGGGGGGAGAGAUGUCAUGU
rnacentral:lncRNA from 1 species